AAGGGGGUCAAACCAUGUCCCAAAGGUCACCGGGCCUGGUGUCACUUUAAAGAAGUAGUCCAGUUACACCUUUGUGGGCUUAUAACUUGGCUUCUGAAUGUCCUAGAGAGAUCAGGUUUGUUUUAAUGUACUCCAAUCAACAGCCCCUACAACCACAAAAGGAAUGGAGUCAUUAGCACUUAUGAUUUGUAAAUGUCACCCAGAAUUAUGUUGCACAAAGCACAAUUUCACAUCAUUCUGGGUCCAUUUGUGUGAAAACAAGGUCCAAUCAGGCUGAAACGCUACAAGAAGGUAGAAUCUAUUGAUUUGUAAGUGAUCUGAACGUUUCAUGAUGAUUGCACAUUCCUAUAGAGGGUCAAACCCAUAGACUGUACAUAUACUGGACAAUUCGAUUCCAUAGGCUUCAAUAACACGUUAUCUGUCCAUAAUGGGAGGUGUCCACCACCACCAUUUUGACCGUGUCACAGGUUCCGUCCAGCCCAGACAAUUCCAUAAAAGGGAAGAGAGGAGGCGCUGAGGAUGUGGCUGUAAGGCUGGGCUCGAGUGACGACACCCAGGCGAACUAGCUACGAGCUAACCUGAAGCUAACCCUGGCUAACCCAAAGCUAAAGCGGAGGUGGGAGCCGAGCUAACGGAUGUAGCCACCUAGCUUCAACCCAACCGGAGCUAACUGGAACACCCAUCGACCUGAACCUCACACGGAGUUUAGGUGGAGGUUUUCUGCGCCUGUUCGUGAGAAGUACCUGUAUUAAAAAAGUUUUAAAUCGCCAUUUGGAUCAUUGGGGACAGCUGAGUGAGGCGUGGUGCCCAGAGAGCUGCAGAGACAACCUUGGCCUCCCUGACGUCUGUGUCUCCUGGUUCGGUUGGGGCGGACCAUCGACAUACAUACAUGUGCCGACACUGUGCCCUGUUUUAUAAAAUGUAGUGUUAAAAAUAAAUGUUUUUGCUCAA